UGGGGAAUAUUGGACAAUGGGCGAAAGUCUGAUCCAGCCAUGCCGCGUGUGUGAAGAAGGUCUUCGGAUUGUAAAGCACUUUAAGUUGGGAGGAAGGGCAGUAAGCGAAUACCUUGCUGUUUUGACGUUACCGACAGAAUAAGCACCGGCUAACUCUGUGCCAGCAGCCGCGGUAAUACAGAGGGUGCAAGCGUUAAUCGGAAUUACUGGGCGUAAAGCGCGCGUAGGUGGUUCGUUAAGUUGAAUGUGAAAGCCCCGGGCUCAACCUGGGAACUGCAUCCAAAACUGGCGAGCUAGAGUAGGGCAGAGGGUGGUGGAAUUUCCUGUGUAGCGGUGAAAUGCGUAGAUAUAGGAAGGAACACCAGUGGCGAAGGCGACCACCUGGGCUCAUACUGACACUGAGGUGCGAAAGCGUGGGGAGCAAACAGG
rnacentral:rRNA from 1 species